rnacentral:rRNA from 1 species
UUAGCCCUAAACACAGAUAAUUACAUAAACAAAAUUAUUCGCCAGAGUACUACUAGCAACAGCUUAAAACUCAAAGGACUUGGCGGUGCUUUAUAUCCUUCUAGAGGAGCCUGUUCUAUAAUCGAUAAACCCCGANNAACCUCACCAAUUCUUGCUAAUACAGUCUANNUACCGCCNUCUUCNGCANACCCUAAAAAGGAAAAAAAGUAAGCGUNNUUAUGAUACAUAAAANCGUUA